rnacentral:lncRNA from 1 species
CCGUUAUUCAGUCUAGUUCUUACUUUCUUUCAGUUUGUUGCUACUGUAUUUAGUAUAUCUGCUCAUUACCUUAUACAUCUCUUUUGUUUACUAUUGUUCCUAUUGUAUUUCCACUGACCCGUGUUGUUGUAUAGCUCUUCCUGAUCCGGUGAGUACUCCUCGCCUUCUUCGGCUUGCGGUACCCACUGGGAGGGGAGACAUGUUUACAUGUUCUCACCUCCCCCACCAUUUUUUAGGUAUCGCGGGCGGUGAGGGUUGAGACGAGACGUGAGGUACGUAGCGGUCGAUAGAGCUUCCGAUCCAGGUUAUUUCGGUUUAGUUAUUACCCCUUUUAUUUCAGUUGUUAUAGCUUAGAUAGUUUAUAUGGUUCAGUAUUUUUUUUUAUUACAUUUGAAAAUAUGUGUUUUCAUGAAUAUAAUAAACUGGUUUGUGAAUUUUGUAAAAUAAAAGGUUUUCUACCCCUCGUGAUAGCGUUUUAAAGAAAGAUAAAAGUUCCUGUGUAGGAACAGUUUUCAAAAGGUUUUCUAUGAAUUUUGCAUCUUAGUAUUUCAAAACUUGUUUCUGUGGUUGGAAACAUUUUAACUGAUAGAUGUGGAUUUAUGUUUAAAUAUUAAACGUAAAAAUGUGAACCUGUGGUGAAUGGUGUAUGAAUAUAUAACUGUGGUUAUUUGUAUGUUCAUCUGGUUGUGGUUGUAUCAUGUUUGAACUCUUGUACUUGUGCGACGCCGUG